rnacentral:other from 1 species
AAUUGUCAGAGAGAUACGACACCGGCUCAAUUAAAACCGACUAAAAUUGCGAUACGGGAGCCUCGAUCAGUUAUCGGUGUUGAAUACUUGCUUUUAGUAAGGAUCCUAAUGAUAACGUACGGGCACCCACCUGGACUAUGGACAGGUUUUAUCGUAUGCUAGGACGUUCUCACCUGACUUUUU